rnacentral:rRNA from 1 species
UACGAAGGGGGCUAGCGUUGCUCGGAAUUACUGGGCGUAAAGGGAGCGUAGGCGGAUAGUUCAGUCAGAGGUGAAAGCCCAGGGCUCAACCUUGGAACUGCCUUUGAUACUGGCUAUCUUGAGUUUGGGAGAGGUGUGUGGAACUCCUAGUGUAGAGGUGAAAUUCGUAGAUAUUAGGAAGAACACCAGUGGCGAAGGCGGCUCACUGGCCCGGUACUGACGCUCAUGUGCGAAAGCGUGGGGAGCAAACAGG